rnacentral:rRNA from 1 species
UACAGAGGUCCCAAGCGUUGUUCGGAUUCACUGGGCGUAAAGGGUGCGCAGGUGGGUUUGCAAGUUCGAUGUGAAAGCCCCGGGCUUAACCCGGGAAUGGCAUUGGAUACUGCAGAUCUGGAGGAUCGGAGGGGGGACUGGAAUUCUUGGUGUAGCAGUGAAAUGCGUAGAUAUCAAGAGGAACACCAGUGGCGAAGGCGAGUCCCUGGACGAUGACCUGACACUGAGGCACGAAAGCUAGGGGAGCAAACGG